GGAAUGCUACCUGCUUUGUCUCUGGCGUCAGCUGGCAAGCAGUCACGUGGCCGUAUGCGUGAGGCCAGAGCUAGAGACCAGAGACUCCUCCGGGACAGCUUCUUCCUAGCUCACUCUGCCUAUCCUCUUCUUGGCCUUCAGCAUGACUGUCUGAGCAGGCAGGAAGCAGUAGGAAACAAGCAGGCUGCCCAGGAACAAUUAGGUCCACAUGCUUUGUCUGACCACCCUUUACAUGGCUCACCAUGGACAGAAAGACCCUUACCAUGUCCCACAUGGUAAGGAGUGAGGCCCAUUGGCAGUGAUCCGUCCACCAUCCUUGGUGGCCGGGCUGGCCCUGUGGUACCUGGGUGUCUGAGGAGAGGUGUCACAUGCUGCUCAUGAGCCCCUCCCUAUACUUCAGACCCAUUGCCUUUUUACGUGAGCACCUCUGAUGAUGUCAUACAAAAGGGCCCGGAGUGACAUGGCUCCUGAGAGGACUACCAAGUGAAUCUACCAGGGGCAGGCGGACACCUGUAGGAGAGGGUGGCCCAAUCUGAUAAGUUUUAGCAAAAUCGUCCCUGUCAGGCCCUUAGUCUAACCUCUGGUUGUUCCGGAGGGCUGCAGCAAAGGAUUGUGUGCCCAAGACAGUGACACGGAGUGACUUUGGUUACCCUGAGGGAUCUGAGGGAACGGAGGUGAUGUAUCUCAGCUCUGCCCUGGCACUCCUCCUCGUUCUUGGCUGCUUGGCUGUUCUGGGAUCUUCUUGCUCUCCCAGGCAUUGGGUCCUGAGCACAGCGCUCAGCCCCAGCCCUACUUUCUGCAUCCCGUCAGCUACAAGUAGGAGACAUAAUCCCCCUCGUGAACAUAGGUGAGAAAACCAAGGCGAGAGCAGAUGUGUGGACACUUAGCUAAAUUCAAACCCAUAGUCCAGACUCCUGGCUGAGGCAGCUCCCGCCUCCGUGAUUAGGAUGGGUCACGCUAAGAGUUCUGGUCAACGGGUAGCUGGAAUGGGAGCCCCAACUCUUCUAAAAGAGAGCAGCCGAAUGCCAGCCACCUCCUGCUUCUCUGCAGAACCCAGCAUAGGAACAAUGCGGCCUCUAUCUGGAGCAGUUCGGGCAGCCUGGACUCCAGGCCCGUCAGAACUGCUUGGCUAGCCAGGCAGUCACAACAUGGCGCCACGGCCACCCUGCCCAUCUACAUGGCUGACUGUCGCCUGGGCUGGGGCUGGACUGGUGUUCAGGCGUCCUCAGGCUAGCUGCUGAGUGGUCAGGCACUGUGGUAUCCUCCCUCCUCUCCUUGUCGUCCAACCCCCGCCUGUUUUUGGUGGUGGGUUUGGGGGCCCGGCCCACCCGCCUCUGCCACGUCUGCCAUCCUCCAGGCACCCACGAGCAUCUUUCGAAAAUUCCCGGUGGGCGGGGCUGAGCUGUAGCGGCCGCCUCUGCCCCCCCUCCCUGGGAGCCAGUGCCAGAUGAGAGAGCAGGAGACAAAAGUAGCAUUUUCCUCGUCCUCCUAGGCUGGCAGCAGGGCCUUCCCCCAGCGCCACUUGCUCCUGGCAGUCCUAACCCCGGGUGCCAGUGUAGCCAAGGCCCAGGCCAGGACCUACGGACUGAUGGAUGCCAGAGCCCAGGAGGCCCAAGGGUCUGUCCGGCCGAGACUGGCACCUGGAGACAGCCUUUUGGCUGGCGGGAGCCCUCUUACCCAGCCAGGGCAGGGGACAUCGUUCUCACUUGCUGGCUUUUGAGAAAGUGGCCCUGUCCUUCAGUUCCUUGGUAAGUGACCUUCUCCCCUUCUCCUGCUGGGGACGAGCAGAGGGCCCUGCCAUCUUGCGCUCUGUGCCUGUUACGUCUCCCUCCUCUCUAAUUGGCUUAACCCAAACCCCAAAUUCUAUUUCAGAGCCCCCCCCCCCCCUCCUGCCAGUCUUGAGUGAAGCAGACACUGCCAAAAAAACUGCAGGGAAGAGAGAGAAACCAAGCCAUUUAUUUUUAAGAUCCAAAGCUAUGGCUUUCAAAAUGAUAAUGAAAACACACGCUCGGUAUUUCGCAGUGGCUGCGUGUUCGAUGAAGAGCUGAAUGAGGGCUGGAGGAGGCAUCAGUCGGCAAGCCGCCCUUCCUUGCCUGUGUUGCUUUGUUGUUGGAAGGGGUCUUAUUAUUUCAUUACCAUUUUUUUUUAACUUUGGAAGUACCGGGAAUGGCAGAGGGGAAAAAACCCAGAACCAUCGUGAGGUCCUUCAGCAAAAGGCUCAGGCAGGGCCAGCCGCACACAGGAGGGAGUAUUUUCGUGUUCUGAAACAGAGGUUCUUUUAUUCUGUCCCGCAUCCCUAAUGCCACCAUUUCCACAGUUUAGGGAUUUAGUCCUUUCUGCCUUUCGUUUCGUUUUAUUUUUUAUUUUUUUUUUUUAUAUAUUUUUUUUAAAGAAGAAAGCUUUUCUUGGAUGACAGCUCAGUGUGGGGAAGAUUUGGGGUUUUGCACUCUGCUUUUUAAGCACUUGUUUUUAAGGCCUUUUUUUUUUUUUUGUAAUUUUGAGGAGGGAAUCUAUCUACAUCAUAGUAAUGUGCUCAGCUUGUAACCCCCUUGCCAGGCUGGGUGAGAAGUGCCCAUGGACACGAGUCACCAGGCAAUCCUUAAAAGAGAGCACCAAGUGGUUCCCAGGCCGGUCUAGACCCUGUCCCAGCCUAGUUCUUUACCAGCAGAGUCGUGCCAGGCCACACAGAGCCUAAACUGUGUCCGAUGGGUGCUAAGGAUCCCCCAAAGACCUUUGUGUAACCCGCCGUGCCAAUAUCACCCGUGAGCUGAGUUAGAGGCUGUCUGAGUUUAGUCCCAGGCCCCAUCCUUUAUAAAAAAAGGUGACAUUUGCAGAGCUCAGCUGCCUGCUCACCUCCACCCCUCUGGCACACUGACAAAAAGCACCCUCGACCACAGCCUGGCCGAGCCUAUGUUUAAGGGUAGCUGGGGUCUUGAUUUAUGGGAACUGGAAAAUCCUACACAGAAAGUUCCACUGCGCAGGAAGAGGAAAAUUCCCAAGUACAGACAUCUUUGUUUCCCUAGUCCAGAGGCACAUGGGCUCUGUGUGUCCAGGAGCUCGGCUGCAGCAGCCGCCCAGAGCAGACUCCACCAAAUAUGAAAACGGAGCCCAGUCUGGCUGCUUUUGUUCUUACGCUAGGCAGCAGUCGAUACUGAAGGGUUUGGGGCUGCGGAGACAGGCAUAUAUAGCCGAGAUAAUUAAAACAUUUUCACGAUUAUGACAGCCACAUUCUGCUGCUGCAAGCUGGAGGAUUCAUUCCACCCAAAUAUUUAGCAAGCAUCGGAUAAAACACUAGUGGCAAAAUAAAAGUAAUGGGGGAAUAAACUGUAAUACGUUUCAAAGGCAAAAGCGUGGCAAAGAGAGAAUUAGGCAAGGAAGAAAAGGGAGGUUAGGAGCUCGAGUCUGCAUUUUAACAGCUGCCUACCCCUGGCCUGUUGUUUUUAAUAGUUAGUGUAGGUGAAUAGAGCUCCAAUUUUAAGUUCUGGAUGGAUGUGCGGUAGAAUUUCCUGAAUGUUAAUUCAUCUUCUUUUUGGACAAGAUAGGGGAAAGUAACAGAAAAAUAAUUCAUGUAAAUAUCUUCACUGUUAAAUUAGUACCUUCCACUCUGAGUCAAUUUAUCCAUUGCUUUUAGUGUAUGUCACACUGUUUUUUUUUCCCCCCCUCUGGAAGAUUGUAAGUAUCCACUUGCCACCUAAGUUUUAAAUUCCGUUAGCAUCAGAUCCCCUCCCUGGUCGCCCAAAUGUAAAAUGUCAUAUUCUGUUUUUUUUUUUUAAAAAAAAAAAUGGGCAAAAUCUCAGAUCUCAGUGCUUUCCAUGGCACCCAUUUCUUUUUGACAGUAUUAAAAAAAAAUAGAAAGUACCACGCAAAGCACUUUCCACAUCAUUGCUUCUAUAUAAAUUCCACUAUAGACAGAAAUUAUACAUUCUCGAGGCACAGAUGGGCUGGUCUGUCAUUACCACUGCCUGGUACUUGUUGGAACACACGGCAUAUUUUAAUUGUGGAGUCAACAAUUUCGAAGAACUGAGGUCAAAACAAACAAGCUACAUUUGUGUCGAGAAGCGAGCGUGUUCCCCGAUCUUCUGGAAGGGCUGACAGAGUGCCACUGCUUUGUUCGAUUUUUUUUUUCUUUUGGUCUCCAUAUACACACGGACGCGUGCCUGUUUGUGUGUGUGUAGGCAUUUGCAUACCGUGCAUGCCCCUGGAGGUGAGCGCACACACUGCAGGAGUGGCUUCUCCCCCCCCCCCCCCCCCCCCCCCGACUGUGUGGCUUCCAGGAAUUGAACUCAGGUUGGCAGGCAAGAACCCUUACCUGUAGAGCCAGCUCACCUAUACUGCCUGCCAUCUUUUAAGACUCCAAAUGCCGUGUCAGAAGUCCUUCCGUGUUUUUAUUAAUUACCGAUUUUUAUCUCAUUUUGCUGCGCGAAUAUCAUAACACUACCCUUAAAUUCCGACUUGUGGCAUGCAAUUAUUAAUAUAACUUAUUAACUAUAGGGAGGUCCAGCCCUCGGCUAUUCUGGGUCAAUGUGCAUGUAAUUAUUUUGAGACCUGCGUGAAAAAAAAAAAACAAAUAAUGAAUAUUUCAAAUGGUCCAAAAAUACAUUUAAGUCGAAACUUGAAAAAAAUUUCAGUGGGUCAGUUGGAUAGAGUAGGUAUAAAUUAAAAAAAAAAAAAAGUCCCAGUGAGAUAAGGGAAUCCAGAAUUUAUUGGGCUGUAUCAACGCACUCGAGGCCAGAGCACUUUUACGGCCACAAUAAUUUGCAGAUGAUGAUAACUGCUUAUUUUGGGAAUUGUGUACAGGUGAUGAUGUAACCAGUGCUAAGCUGCACUUUCGCCCCCUUUUCCCAUGUGUUAAACACUGACCUCUGUACUUCUGGAGUCCAAACGCUGUGUUCCCUGCCUGUGGAGAGCAUUUGAGGCUCUUGCAUUGGGAGAGAGGAAGGGAAGGGCCUUGCUGCACACCGCCACCCUCCCCCCCAUCCCCGGGAGCUCCAGCCCCCGCACCCAUUUGUUAUUAGAAGUACUUUGUUGUGGCUUGUUUACUUGAAGGCUUCUACCUGUUGGUGGAGAUGUUAGCGAACAGUGGAAACGGAACACUGAUGAAAUCCUCCCCAGCUGGCUAGGAGUGGAAGGGUUUUUGAGGGAGCCUGGUCCUGGAAUGUAACGGAGACGGUGGUUGGAGAGGCCACGAGCCAGUCGGAGCCCUCGGCAUCUGUUUGGCACCCAGUGACCUGGCUAUGAGGGCAGCGACAGGAGGCUUCAGUCCUGCCAGCGGGCUCUGCAAACGACUGGAGAGGCUUCCGGAGAUCAGCAGUGUAGGCUGAAAAUGAGAUCCAGCUUUUGAAACCUCGAACAUGGCUGCUCCAGAGAGCCUCCCAGGAAAGGAAAAGUGUAUCAGAAGACCCUGGAGGACCUCAUACACAGGCAUCAGCCUCUUCUCGACAACUCUCCCAGGUGACCUCUGAAGCUCAAGGACCCCUGUCCAGCCCAGGCCCUGCCCUGGAUUCCUGUCGACUGGCUGGUCCCUGUCAGAGGCGUAAACCCUUGGCUGUGGGAGUUGCAUCUCUCCUAUGACCCACCCCACCCUGCAAGGUGGCUUCCCUGUCCCCUGGGCCUCAGACUGGCUACCUGUGAAGUGGGAUUGUACUCCACACAGAUUUUUUGCUCUGCACAGGUCCAAAGGAGGCAGCCUGAGGUGAGACCUGUACCCCCUAGAGCUGUUUUCUUUGCCCCGACUGUGUAACUGGAUUCUGAGUAGAGCAGAGGCUAUGAUGGGGAGGAGGCACAAAGCAAUUCUGAUCCAGCCCUCUGGAGUACCUGCUGCCCUCUGUCUAGAGAGGCUUGGAGACCAGCUGUGGUGAGGGGGCAGAGGGACUCCUGGCCAGGAGCCGGAAAGGGGAAUUGAAUAGAUGAUGGUCACUUGUUUAAGAAGCAGCUGGAACGAGAUGAAAAAGCUAGGGCUGUUCUAGUUGGAUCUGUAGAAAGUAGGAUAGUGGUAGCUGUAUGCUCCUGAAGAAAAUCUUCCUGGCAUCCGUCCUGUUGAUGGCCGCUUUGGCAACUGAUCCCUUGACCUCUUGGCCCCAGACAGGAAGGAACUAUCUAGCCCACUCGUUCCUGGAGCAUAGGAUGGCACUUGAGCCCCUUGGCUUGGGGCCUCCCAACCCGGGCAGAUAAGGACAUGUCCUGUAGAUUCUAGAGAGGAGCUCGGGCCCGGGAGGCGUCACCGUGGGCCACCUGGAGCCCCUUGAGGGGAAGUGUGGGAGUCUCUGGAAGCCCAGAGCCAGUUUGGAACUUGGGUGGGAGGAGAGUUCUGGAAGGGGAUGGCUUGACCUAUUUUCUCUGACCAGACCAUCUCAGGCCUCGGCCCAGGGCAAAGCCUUGAUCUGGUAGGUUGUUCUUUCUCCUCCCUGCCAGGCAUCCACUGGUCCCACCCUCUGGCUUCCACGGCCUUUGUCUUCCAAGGGUGCCACAAAAUGGCCGACACAGCCCUCCGCCAUUUUGUAGCUGAAACAAGCAGUAGCCUUGGAGACCCCUGCUUCCUGCCUGCCCCGAGUGGCCUGGACAGAGCCCAGGACCAGCGCUCCCCCAACCCCCACUUGGCUUUGGCCAUAGCUGCCCCAGGCUUGGCACAACCAGCUGCUUGGCAAAGGUGCCUGGGAGUCCUGGCCCCUUAGCCAGCUCCACUUCUGCCUUACUACCCACCAAGCAAACAGAGAAGGAGGCUGCACAUCAGAGUCGGGAAAAGCCAGCCACCAGCACUGUCCUUGGCAGGGGCUGGGCCGGCAUGGAUGGUUCUAGAAAUGAUGUCUGUACUGCGGUACCAGGUUCCUGAAUGUGGCCAUCAACAAGCGUAGAUUUGAGUUAGGUCUCCCUGAGAGAAAAGCCUCUGGCCUCCAAAUGCCCCUCAUACCCUUAACCUGACCAGGGACCUUGGGGAUCCCUGGCUGAGCGUGAUAUAGAAUGCCAGGGUUUCACAGCGGCCAGUCUGUCUCCUGGCCUGGGUAACCUAUGAUGUCAUCAAGUAGUCCAGGUGCUUGCUAGAGGAGGCUGCUUUGCUCCAAGAGCAAGGCUACCCAGUGGGCCACUGGGGCUCUGAGGUAGAAGAAACUUUUCCCUGUCACACGGUUCCUCUGCCUUCCUAGAGAUCAGAAGCAGCACCUCCCAGAGUGCUGCCUUAAUGACGCCAUCCAGGCCCACAGCACCCCCAGCGUCCCCGGGUCAUCGUCAUACAGUGCUGUCCAGCUUCCCAAAGUAGGACAAACGGGGCAAGUUCUGGGAGCCAGGAAUGGCCAAACAGCCCCGCCACCCCUGUGAGGGGGGUGUUCCUCAAAAGAAGCUAGGGGGUAGCUCGCUGGGAAGCAGGGAAGGGUGUGGGAUAAAAUGUCUUUGACUCUUGGGCAGCAUGGGGGUUGCUCCAUGGCCCUGCCUCACCCCGUGCCCUCUACCAGCAUAGCAAGAAGCCAUGUGUAGACAGUAGGGCCAAGCUGUCCCAUCUAGGGAGCUAGCUGGAUGCCAGCCCCAGGCUUCUUUCUUCCCACAGCUCCCAGGAAGAACAUUCUGUCACCAUGAAGUGAGGCUUGCUCAGGCCAUGUCCCCUUCCAGGGAAACCCUGCAGUCCAAAACCCACCUGCCCAGACCAGGAUGGAACCUCCCGGGGUCCUGGAGUAUAGGCUUCCUAGAAUGAGAAAAAUCUCCCCAGGAAGGGCCAGGUCCAGAGGGAGUCAAAGAGCAGGCAGAGUACGUGCCCCACAGUGUGGCAUCUGAAGUCAUUUCCCACGCACCUUCCUAUGUCCUGGACAGUGCUUGGGUCGGGGAAUAUCUGCGGAUGAGUGGCCAGAGCUGGUAACCUGUAGCUAAAUGUCCAGCCCCAGGCGGAGUGCAGGGAGCAGGAGGGCCCCGCAAGGGCCUUGCCCAGUGUACCACAGGCCUUCGGUGCUUUGCCCUAGGCAUACGCCAUCAUGACUCCCACUACUGUCUAUACCAGACCGCUAUCUCACUAGCCCUCCAGAGAAGGCACAGAGCCAACUGCCGACUGACUUUGUCUCGGACCCUAUUUCUAGAUGAAGAGGGCUAGGUUCAGAUCUGGGCCUUCCCAGCCAGGCUCUAGACCCUGAGUCUCCCCUUUUCUCUCGUGAAUUUUGCUAUGGAUCACAGUGUUCAUUACCUCUAUUCUAGGGGUGGGCAUGCUACCAGGGUACCACAGCUCUCGAGUCUGCUCAAAGCCCAGUGCAGGUCAAAUCCACCUCGGGAUCAGUGUGAGGUGUGUAGGGCUAGAGAGAGCCAGGUCCGAGGCACUUAGAUGCUAGCUCCAGGUUUGACUUUGCAUCCUUGUGGUACACUUUUGGAAAAGGAUGUUCAAGCCUGUGGGUACUUCCCCACGGACCUGUCAGAGCAGUCCAGUCUGAAGCCAGGGCACUGAGCAAACCUGGGUCAUCUUUGUUCAAAUAUGAUCUUGUAAUGUCUGGAGUGAUCACAUUAGUCGUUUUGCUAAAGUUUACACAAAGGCCUCACUUGUCUUAGUGACUGAGAUUUUGGUCACCCCUAACAUGCUUGUCUUAGCCAGACCAAAGAGACUCCUCAGUAGGCAUGGCCCGCCUCUGGGCACACUGACCUAGGCCUAGUCAGUAAGCAUGCAUCUUGCUAACUUUAUGGGCCAUGUUCACAAGGAGACCCGCCUUCUGCCCAGCCGGAUGCCACCCCUCCCAUCGUUCCCAGACUCGCUGUUGGCACGGCCUACUGAGCAGAGACACUGGCGGCUUUAUGGGAGAAACCUAAUCAGGGAGACCAGGAGGGGGAGGCUGCCAUGGAGGGGGGGUCUGACUCUUGGUGGCCCCAAGCCAAGCCUGAGGUGACUUCAGGGUGACACCGUCUGUCUGCCUCUCUCCCUCCAGACAUCCGCCCAGCACUGAAAGGGCCACCUGCCUGCCUAGGCCUUUGGCGCACCUGUCCUGGCCAGCCUGGCUCCUCCCCCAGGCACCCUGCCCGUGGGCAGACACUACAGGACUAGGACAAGGCUGGGAGGUGGCAGCUGGCAGAUGGCAGGGUGCCUGCUGACUGCUCACUCCCUGGCGACCUGUUCAGGAUCGCCAUUCAUGUGCACUGCCCGCCCCGCCACUGGCCCUCCUCCAGCCUCGCCCCACUGGGUCCCUUUGGUUUGUUUCAGGACCCCUUCCCUGUUACCCGUUAAGAAAGGAGGCAUUUAUGUGAGUCCCAUCCCCCAGGGCGGAGGCCAGUGGUCAAGCUAAUCCUGGCACUUCUCGAGUAUGAACUGGGUCUUUUCCUCAUUCUGUCACAUUCAGCUUCAGAGACCAAGUAAAGGUGACCACAGACCAAGUAAGGGUGACCCUUCCGGAGUCUCGUGGAACCAGUGUACCCCUGUGUAGGGCAGAGUCGUCUUAAGAACUGAGUGGCCAUGGUAGCCGGGCCUGCCACCAGAGCAUGGAGAGAUGCCUGAGGGAAAUGGGUCUGAGACAGGCACCUGUGGGCCAGCCUCGCCAGACUAGCACCCUGGGCAGAGUGAGGCCUCCUGGGGAGCGGAAACCUUGUGGGAAGGAGCAGGAACCACAGGCCAGUGGUUCCCGGCAGAGGGACAGACCAGGGCAAAAGCCAGGAGGUGGGGAGGGCCUGGGAGAUGGCCAAGGAGGGCAGAGGAGGCUUGCCCAGGGCAUUCUGCUGUUUUGUGGGCUGGGGGCGGGGCUGACGGGCACGGUGGAAAGGAUCAGAGAAAGGGUGUCCGAUGAUGGAUGGCUUGGCCAUCUUGGUGGUAACAAGAAAGGCUGGUAGUCAGGGAGGGAGGGCCUUUCCCACCCUUGUAUCCUCACCACCCUCGAUAGCCAAUGGUCUCAUCUUCCUCUCCUUGAGAUGUGCAGGAAUAGUCAGGCUUGUAACAAACUGCUCUGGCUUAUGGGCAGAUCCAAAGCAGGCCUUGUCUCUGUUCCGCACCCAGAGCCCUUCAGCUGGCUAGGCUGCUCCCUCACUGCCACCAUGUCCCUGCUUGGCCUUCCAUGUCUCUGCUGGCCCUGCCGUGAUGCCUUGGUCAGAAUGGCCCAAGGGAAGUAGGGUGGUGACUGGAUUCAUGGAGGAAGUCUGUGAUCCAGUGAGUCCCUUCUCUGGCUCUCAGCUCUCAGGAGGGAGAGUUCAGGCCCCACUUGUCCUAUCUUGGGAAGCUGCAUCUUGCUGACAACCUCUGAGAGAGGACUAACUCUUUCCGGGGUCCAGUUAACUACCACAGUGUAUGUGAGAGAGAGUAUAAGCCUGUCCCCACGCAGCGCUGCUUCUCUCAGGCCCCACAGUCAGUGGCCACAUGGGUCACUGACCACCCACAUAGACAUGCUUGACCACCGUGGACGAAGUUUGAGUCAUAGUCUCUGGCCAGCUGGUUUGAGAGGCCAUUCCAUCCAAGCCUUUGCCUGCUGCAGAGUGUCACCAGGCAGCAGACAGACUGGAUGAAAAUGUCACUGUGCUGAGGGCUAGCAGGGUACAGCAAGGGGAGGCAUCCGGGGGCUGGGCUGUCUCCCUUCGGAAGCUGAUGACUGUUGCUUUUGUUUCUAAACCCAAACAGGUCAGGAAGUAGUGUCAAGCAGGAGCUUCUGCAUGCAGCCGAUUUCCCUGUGGUGAGUAGGGCCUCACUGUCCUUCCUCGGGAGAGUAGGGAGCCAUGGGAGACCUCAGAGUGAGAAGGACUAGGGUCAGAAUCACAACCCUGCCACUGCUCCAGGACCUCAGCGUAGACGCCCUUACCUGGAGGCCUGUGCCCCCCACCAGCAGACUGCCCCCGGGGGAUUCAUCUCAUCUACCUAUGAUGCACUGUGAUAUGAUGAGCUUUGACCCCCCACAUCGGGCUACCUGGGCUGGAUGUGGUUUAAGGGAGCUGCAGUUCCAUCCAUUACUGGCUUUGAGACACAGCCUUGCUACCCUGAGGCAACACUGUCUGUAGGCUCACACCCUUCAGGUCACCCAGCCUGAGAGCUCUCUGGGGACCUCAAAGGCAGCUCUCUGUCCCCUGUCACCAUCACUCAGCUCUCCAGUGUGAUCCCAGCACUGAUGGAGAACCCCCUGCCAGGAGAGCCAUGCCUCCCAGGCUGGGCUAAGGCGCAGGGUGGGGUGGCCACGGUCAAGGAGGGACCCAGAUGCUUGUCACCCGCUAUUUCUCUCCUACAGAUGCCAUGAGUUCUGCAUGUUGCAAUGAAGCCCAGACUCGGGGAGGGUGGUCAGGAGCAGAGGCAGGACAGGCACUUUUGGGGGCUAUCACAGUGGCACGUAUCAGCGUAUCAGCCUCCUGCUGAUGGCUAACUACACUGGCCAAGGAGCUGCUGAGAAUCCCCGAGGGUCCCCAGUGAGAGGCAGCCCAGACCUCCCAGGCAACCCUGCUUACGAUAUUGUAUCCUGCUGGCCAGGGGCAGAACACGAAAUGUUGAGAGGCCCAUGCCGAGGUGUGCCUUCUCUCCUUCUUCAAGGUGUUUCUGAAAGGCUCAGAUGGCGUUGGCAAAAGUGACUUCUGGUCAUUCUACCAUGUCCAGGUGCAUCCUGGGAACUGACAAGGUUAAUCAUGGCCAGUCAGUGACACCUCCGCCUUCCCACCUGGUCCACUCAUCGUAGAUGGGAACACGGGGUGGGGGUGGGACUGAGCCACUCUCUUCCCAUGCCUUCCUGCCUCGCUAAAUCUGCUUGGACCAUCCUUGGGGAUAUGUGACCUGUCUCUUAGUAAAAGGGUACAGGCUUGAGGCAGGGGAUAGCACCCCUGAGGUUCACAUAGAUGUCCUUCUCGGGCUGGACAGCGCUCUGGGGCCGUGUUCCCAAUCCACUCUGCCUCGUAGACUGGGUUCACAGUGUGGACUUAAGCCUAAUGGCCCCAGGGUCCUUGGACUUGCUCCUGUCACCCUUGGCAGGGAGAGGGAGGUGUGGCAUCAGGUGCUAGGGUUCAUGCAGAGAACCAAAGCUGGUUGGCUUCCUGGUACUGGGCACAGAGCUUCCCUCUGCAUUGCUGUCUGAGGCCUGAGAGUAGAGCCACCUCGGGGCUAGAGCCUGUGUCUUCACAGUGACCCCACCUCCCAGCUGGAGGAGGAGAUGUCUCCACCCAGCCUUGUGCCUGCCCAGGAAAACUAUGGAAGGAGGCCUGCAGUUGAGUCUCCAAGACUCUGUUGGUACCCGGGAGCAGAGAGCUACGGACGCAUCUUACAAGGUGGGAAGG